AUUUGCAUAAGGUUAUCGACAUGGGAAUGAGACCGAAUACUCAUUUCGACAAAGCUGAUGGAAAUAUUUGUUGACAGUUUUCAAAGAACAAACUGGUCAUGCAUUCACCUAGACACAAAUGAAGAACAAAUGAGAUGACUGCAAAAAGGAUUGGAGGAUAUAAACGAAGCUUAUUUCCAAAACUGGUGUGGGAUGGAGUAAUGAAUUAGGAACAAUUUCUACAAGUGAUAAGUGGUGGAAAGCAAGAAUUCAAAAAAUAAAAGGAGCAAAAAAAUUUAGGCAAUCUGGUAUCAAACUAUCUUUACAUUUGAAGUUUGACAGAAUAUUUUUGAACAUUGUUGCUACUGAAGAGUAUACAUGGGCACACCAUUGUCUGGAGUCCUCUGUGAUGAUAAUGUUGGUAUUGCUGAGGAUCCAAAUGCUAAUGAUAAAGAACCUGAUUUGGAAGAAGGAAGCGGUGAUUCAGGAGAAGAUGAAAUUUUAAAUUUCAUCGAUGAUGUUUGCAACAUGGUUAUAGGGGUUAAUAUGUCCAGCAAUAGCAACACACGCAGCAGUGGAAAGAGAAAAGAAAUAGAAUGUUUUGAGGUUCAAGCUAG